rnacentral:rRNA from 1 species
CCUACGGGCGGCUGCAGUGGGGAAUUUUGGACAAUGGGGGCAACCCUGAUCCAGCCAUGCCGCGUGAGUGAAGAAGGCCUUCGGGUUGUAAAGCUCUUUCGGCCGGGAAGAAAUCGUGCGGGCCAAUACCCUGCAUGGAUGACGGUACCGGAAGAAGAAGCACCGGCUAACUACGUGCCAGCAGCCGCGGUAAUACGUAGGGUGUGAGCGUUAAUCGGGAUUACGGGGCGUACGGCGUGCGCAGGCGGCGAAAUCCCCGGGCUUAACCUGGGAACGGCGUUUGUGACUGUGGUGCUUGAGUGCGGCAGAGGGGGGUGGAAUUCCACGUGUAGCAGUGAAAUGCGUAGAGAUGUGGAGGAACACCGAUGGCGAAGGCAGCCCCCUGGGUCGACACUGACGCUCAUGCACGAAAGCGUGGGGAGCAAACAGGAUUAGAUACCCCGGUAGUC